UGUAAUUAUCUUCUGUAAUUUAUCAGAAAGAUUUAAAAUUGAAUGUUCAAAAUAUUUUAAAACUUCAACUGCUACAAAUUAUUGUUAGUUUUAAGGAAAAGAAAAGGUUUUACUCAAAUAGUUCACUUCUUAAGUGUUGUGGAAGACAUAUUUAGUAGAACAUUUUUGCAAUGGUUACAUGAAAUUGCAAAAUAUCAUAAUGAAAAAGACAUUU